UGAUUAAAUUUAAAUAUCAACAAUUUUUAUGUCUAUUAAUUUAAUUUUUUAAAAUUUAAUAAAUACAAGACUUCGUAUAAUCUUUAUACUUUUGUAGUUUUGUGUAGUCUUAUUUAUACGCAUUACGCAAGUAAUACUCGGAGUGUGUCGUCUAUAUGCCAUAUGUAAAAAAGUGUUCAUAAAAUUGUCUAAAUGCCACGUGUGUCUAAAGUCCGGGUGGCUUGUCAACACUACCGAGUCUCAACAGUGACUUGAGUCACAAAAGAAUGAAAUCCUUCUCAAUCUCGUGCACUUUCUCUCACUCUGAACUUUCCUCCAUUGAAACAGCUUCUUCUGAUCUUCUCUGAGGUGGUUGAUCAAGGUUUAUAGCAUGGAAUCUCAUCCUCUUGCAGUCUUGCUAACCAAAACUAAAACCAGUUUAUCACCGCCAAUGAGCAUGGGCUAUCACGAAUAUGAAGCUAAGAGAGCUUUGAGGAUGAAUGAGCAGGAUGUUGAAAGUGCUAUCAAUUUUCUAGAGGAGGAGAAAGAAAAGAAGGCGAAGAAGCGGGAAGAUGACCUUUAAUUUGUACGAAGUAUUAUUUUGUUCUAGAGCUUUUAGUAAGCACUUAGGAUUUUCUUUUAGUAUUAUGAAGGGCAGCUUUGAUACCUAAGUGCACCAAUGACAAAAAAAAUUUGUUCAUGAUAUUUUCACGUCUUUACCUUAGGAUAACAUACUCAAAAUAUGUAAAAUUAUCACAGUAUUUGUAUUCCCGGUUUUCAACCACUAAAUUGCAAGCCUUAUGUCCUCCGUGUCCUAAUGCACAAAAACUGCGGGAUUAAA